GUGGCGUAGACAGACUCCAGAGAUCUACUCUAGCGGACUACUAGAGAAAAGCAGUAAAAUUACAAGUAGACUACUCCUAAAAAAUACAGAAAAUUGCGAGGAAAAUAAAGGUGGUCUUUUGUUCACAGAGAAAAAGACCCCUUUUUAGGGCAUUAUUACCCUAUUUAUAGAUCGGCCCCUUAAUCAGUUAUUGCUCUUAUACGAUCGGCCAUUAUCUCCUUAUAUCCCGGACCACCUCCAGCCGAUCGGAACCGCAUGUAACUGCUUGCGGUUACUGUAACUUCCUUC
rnacentral:lncRNA from 1 species